GACGAACGCUGGCGGCGUGCUUAACACAUGCAAGUCGAACGGAAAGGCCCUGCUUUUGUGGGGUGCUCGAGUGGCGAACGGGUGAGUAACACGUGAGUAACCUGCCCUUGACUUUGGGAUAACUUCAGGAAACUGGGGCUAAUACCGGAUAGGAGCUCCUGCUGCAUGGUGGGUGUUGGAAAGUUUCGGCGGUUGGGGAUGGACUCGCGGCUUAUCAGCUUGUUGGUGGGGUAGUGGCUUACCAAGGCUUUGACGGGUAGCCGGCCUGAGAGGGUGACCGGCAACAUUGGGACUGAGAGACGGCCCAGACUCCUACGGGAGGCAGCAGUGGGGAAUAUUGCACAAUAGGCGGAAGCCUGAUGCAGCAACGCCGCGUGCGGGAUGACGGCCUUCGGGUUGUAAACCGCUUUCGCCUGUGACGAAGCGUGAGUGACGGUAAUGGGUAAAGAAGCACCGGCUAACUACGUG
rnacentral:rRNA from 1 species